rnacentral:rRNA from 1 species
UACGGAGGGUGCAAGCGUUAUCCGGAUUCACUGGGUUUAAAGGGUGCGUAGGUGGGCAGUUAAGUCAGUGGUGAAAUCUCCGGGCUCAACCCGGAAACUGCCAUUGAUACUAUCUGUCUUGAAUAUCGUGGAGGUAAGCGGAAUAUGUCAUGUAGCGGUGAAAUGCUUAGAUAUUGGGAGGAACACCAGUGGCGAAGGCGGCUCACUGGACCGGAACUGACGCUGAGGCGCGAAAGCGUGGGGAGCAAACAGG